rnacentral:rRNA from 1 species
GCGGCGUGCCUAAUACAUGCAAGUCGAACGCUUCUUUUUCCACCGGAGCUUGCUCCACCGGAAAAAGAAGAGUGGCGAACGGGUGAGUAACACGUGGGUAACCUGCCCAUCAGAAGGGGAUAACACUUGGAAACAGGUGCUAAUACCGUAUAACAAUCAAAACCGCAUGGUUUUGAUUUGAAAGGCGCUUUCGGGUGUCGCUGAUGGAUGGACCCGCGGUGCAUUAGCUAGUUGGUGAGGUAACGGCUCACCAAGGCCACGAUGCAUAGCCGACCUGAGAGGGUGAUCGGCCACAUUGGGACUGAGACACAGCCCAAACUCCUACGGGAGGCAGCAGUAGGGAAUCUUCGGCAAUGGACGAAAGUCUGACCGAGCAACGCCGCGUGAGUGAAGAAGGUUUUCGGAUCGUAAAACUCUGUUGUUAGAGAAGAACAAGGAUGAGAGUAACUGUUCAUCCCUUGACGGUAUCUAACCAGAAAGCCACGGCUAACUACGUGCCAGCAGCCGCGGUAAUACGUAGGUGGCAAGCGUUGUCCGGAUUUAUUGGGCGUAAAGCGAGCGCAGGCGGUUUCUUAAGUCUGAUGUGAAAGCCCCCGGCUCAACCGGGGAGGGUCAUUGGAAACUGGGAGACUUGAGUGCAGAAGAGGAGAGUGGAAUUCCAUGCGUAGCGGUGAAAUGCGUAGAUAUAUGGAGGAACACCAGUGGCGAAGGCGGCUCUCUGGUCUGUAACUGACGCUGAGGC